CUGUGGCAGCGCUCCCGGCCACUAGAGGUCGGGCAACAUUCCCCAGUUUGGAAGGACACGAGUGGAUCCAAUCGACUGCACUCCACCGCCACCAUCUCCACCAGCAUCGCCCACACCGCUGUCAUCCGCUCCGUCGCUGUGCCAUCGUCGUCCACUGUGCCGCCAUCCGCUCCACCGUCGUGCCAUCGUCGUCCACUGAGCCGCCAUUGGAAGAGUGCUAAGUGGAAGCAACAUAUGAAGCUCACAUGGAGAAGGAAAAUGGAACGACAGUCCACAUGA
rnacentral:misc_RNA from 1 species